GCCGGAGUGGCGGAAUUGGCAGACGCAACAGACUUAAAAUCUGUCGUUCGUAAGAGCGUACCGGUUCGAGCCCGGUCUUCGGCACCA
rnacentral:tRNA from 1 species